rnacentral:rRNA from 1 species
UACGGAGGGGGCAAGCGUUGUUCGGAUUCAUUGGGCGUAAAGGGUGUGUAGGUGGCGCGCUAAGUCGGGUGUGAAAUUUCGGAGCUUAACUCCGAAACUGCAUUCGAUACUGGCGUGCUUGAGGACUGGAGAGGAGACUGGAAUUCAUGGUGUAGCAGUGAAAUGCGUAGAGAUCAUGAGGAAGACCAGUGGCGAAGGCGGGUCUCUGGACAGUUCCUGACACUGAGACACGAAGGCCAGGGGAGCAAACGGG